CACACACACAAAACUCCAAUUCAUGGAGCCAAUGUAAAGAAAUCAGAGAUAUUUUGUUUAUUUCUCAAACCUAGUGUCCACGCAAUAUUAUUUAUAUGGAUUUGGUAAUUGUUUUGUUUAACAUUGGGUAGGCAGUGUAUGGGUUGGUUUUUACUGUAUAGAUCUGAAGCAAAAGAUAACAGCUUUUCCCACAAGGUCAUUUACUAAGUCAAGAACCAGUGAUUGACUGAAUCUCUCCUAAUUUUAUUCGGAAUAUAAGUGUUGGAUUACUAAAUCCCAUAGAUAAUAAGUUGUGGAUGUAUUGCACAGCAAUUUGUUAAGUCCUCUUUUAUGAUCAAAUAUAAAAUGGAUAUGCUUAAAUAGUUUCUGUGUGGGUGUCAAUCUGGCAUGUUAUUGCUCACAUUUCUAUCUUGAAAAUACUAUGAUAAUUGGAAUUCAGGUGAAUAAAUCUCAUCCUAUUUCAUGUUUGUUUUUGGAUUUAAUUCCAGUGGAAACAAAUUUUCAUAUAUUAUUGUGCAAGUUGCAGCUAGUAUUGUUGGAU
rnacentral:misc_RNA from 1 species